rnacentral:tRNA from 1 species
CCUGAUGGCUCAGAUGGUAAAGAAUCUGCCUGCAAUUCAGGAGACCCAGGUUCGAUCCCUGGGUCAGGA